rnacentral:lncRNA from 1 species
CUGUGUACAGCACUCUCGGUCUCUUCAGAGAGAUUGGCUUGGGCAGGUCCACGAACAUGAUUCUGUCCUCCAGUUCUUCCACCAUUACGACGACCACCACGGCCCCGACUACUACGCCCAGGCUGAUUUGGGCGGCCAUGGAGAUUCCAGCAAAAUGCCUUAGUAUGCCCAGGCUUUUUACAAUGAAAACAUACUUUCUCACCUACCUGCUGUGGCUGUACAGUAAGAGCUGAUCUUACAGAACUAUUGGAGUCAGAAGUCACUCGUCGCCGUGUCUCCUCGCUUAAAACAGUAGAGAAGACUUGACCUAAACUAAGUAAAAUAUCUCUGGCGAGAAGCUGAACUCUGACAGAUUCAUAUUCCAGAUUCAGACCAUAUAGAAAGUCCUGAACCCGUUCUUCUUCUAAAUAUUUCUGAAAUCCAUCAACAUCGAUGGAGCAUUAUGGAACAAAAGUUCUAUAAUGAUCAGCUUCAGACCAGAGACGUUUCAACUCGGUGGCAUAUUCAGUGAUAGAUAAAUCUCCCUGACGAAGCUGACGUAAUUGAGAACAGAUCUCCAGGAGCGGGAUGCCGUAGUUGGUGAUCUGGAAAAAACCCC